GGUAAAACUAAAGUACAGAUUAUCCAGGCAGCCAAUAAAUGAUUUGCACGACCUCAUUGAAGACGACAUUAAACCAAAAACCAUGCGAAUUCAUGCCACUCCAGUGAUGACAAAGCUCCUCAUAACACCGCAGUUGUUGGCGAAAGGGGAAUUCUAAAGUGAGGGUGGACUUGUUUAUGGCGUCUCCAGAAGCUCUGUAUGUGUAUGAUACUAUCUGUUUGGCAAAUGCCUUCAUAAAACAGGAGGAUUUUUGCAGAUCACCCCAGAGAAGUUUGCUGCACAACAUUAUUGUGCAUUGAUGGAGGGGUGCAGUUUGAUGGACAGAUUCAAGUUGCACCAGGAAAUGCACCACCACACUUGUGGCUAGUUGACCCCAAUGACCAGAGGGCAAGAGCAGCCCUCAUUGCCAGAUUUCAAUAUAAAUACCCUGGAUGUGGUAGUUAGUCAUCCAAAACAUUUAUUGUUAUUUAAACAUUUAUUGUUAUUUUUGUCUUCACAAGUGUCAAAAUGCUUACCAUUCCAUUUUUAAUGAACUUUUGGUUAUUAAAAACUGUUAUUUUUUCUUUUAUAGUUAUUUUGAACAAUUUCAACCGUUUAAAUUGUAAUGAAUAGACAUUUGAGGUUAUUUUUUAAACAUUGUUAACUUAAAAAAUACUUUGAUUUUGUAAUCUGUUGAAUGAUGUUUCUCUUACGGUAUUUAUGUAAUGUGAUUUUUGUUCUGAUUUCUUGCCCACUUGUGAAUGUAUUAAUUUGAUAUGUUUAUAUACAGUAAAAUACUUAUUGACAUAGGGUAUAUGUUUGUUUUAUAAACUGUCUUGUUUCCCAAAUCAACAUUACUGAGUGUUGAUGUGGAAAAUCACAAAAGUAGUUUUGGAUUGAAUCCAAGAUCUCAUAGUUUGUAGGCAGGUCAUGUUCCUCUGUAUAAUGGUAAACAACAAAAACUCAUAAUACUGUCAAGGGUAGUUAUUGCACUUAGUUUUUUUUGCAUUGUUGGUGGCACCAUUUUUGCAGUAUGUAUUGAAGUAAAAGCAAUCAAGAGGAAUAAAAUGUCAUUCUAGGGAUUUUAUUAAUUAUUCAAUACAAAAUGGAAAGUGUGCAUCUCAAUAUCUCAAUAACAUGAAGUGUUUGUGCUAAUAUUUGAAUUCCAUAGAUGUAUCAUUAUUAUUAUUUCAACAAAGUGAAAAGACAAAGGUAAAACAUAUCUAUCUGUGAAAUAAGUGAAAACUUUAUUUGUGUGAAUUUAAAAUUGACAUUUUACAUCAAGUUUAACUUGAAAAACAACAACACAAUAGU